ensembl:ncRNA lncRNA:CR44791 long non-coding RNA:CR44791
CAAACAAACUGCAAAGGGAAAACUUAAAAAGGAAAACGAUACAUUUGAACGAGCGUUUUCUAUUAAAGCCAAGAUGGGGCCAUAAGCGAAAUUCAAUUAAAAACUUUAAAAGCCGCCCAACAAUUUCCAACUGCAAUUAGAUGAGAGAAAACACACACAGAAAGUCCUGAUUGCAUUCAAAACGAGAUACGGUUGCAAUAUAUACGGAUACAUGAACGCAGCUGAGAUACAAAAACUUCGCUUUGGCAAACUUUUAGCUAUUAUGUAACAAAACGCAGAUGAAGGCUGGGAAAUUGCAAUCCAUACGCCCAACUCGCCAUUUUCUCAGCCAUCUGGCAUUUCUGGCUUAAAAAAAAAACGAGUUCCAUUUCUUUGCUAAUACAGGAAACUAAAGCUGUCCGAGUUU